rnacentral:rRNA from 1 species
UAUCAAUAAGCGGAGGAAAAGAAACCAACAGGGAUUGCCUCAGUAACGGCGAGUGAAGCGGCAACAGCUCAAAUUUGAAAUCUGGCCUCUUUGGGGUCCGAGUUGUAAUUUGUAGAGGAUGUUUCGGGUACCGCCUCGGUUUAAAUUUCUUGGAACAGAAUGUCAAAGAGGGUGAGAAUCCCGUCUUGGACCGGCGGUAGGGCCCAUGUGAAACUCCUUCGACGAGUCGAGUUGUUUGGGAAUGCAGCUCAAAAUGGGUGGUAAAUUUCAUCUAAAGCUAAAUAUUGGCCAGAGACCGAUAGCGCACAAGUAGAGUGAUCGAAAGAUGAAAAGCACUUUGAAAAGAGAGUUAAACAGUAUGUGAAAUUGUUGAAAGGGAAGCGCUUACAACCAGACUUGAGCGCGGCGGUUCCCCCUUCCUUUUGGUUGGGUUACUCCGUCGUGUCCAGGCCAACAUCGGUUUCGGGGGUCGGUUAAAGACCUUGGGAAUGUAUCUACCCUUCGGGCGUAGACUUAUAGCCCAGGGUGUCAUGCGGCCUCCCGGGACCGAGGAACGCGCUUCGGCUCGGAUGUUGGCGUAAUGGUUGUCAGCGACCCGUCUUGAAACACGGACCAAGGAGUCUAACAUCUAUGCGAGUGUUUGGGUGUCAAACCCGGAACGCGAAAUGAAAGUGAACGGAGGUAGGAAGCCUUGAGGCUGCACUAUCGACCGAUCCUGAUGUCUUCGGAUGGAUUUGAGUAAGAGCAUAGCUGUUGGGACCCGAAAGAUGGUGAACUAUGCCUGAAUAGGGUGAAGCCAGAGGAAACUCUGGUGGAGGCUCGCAGCGGUUCUGACGUGCAAAUCGAUCGUCAAAUUUGGGUAUAGGGGCGAAAGACUAAUCGAACCAUCUGGUAGCUGGUUCC